AAAUCACUCUCACCCAUUUGGAUAAGAUCAAUUGUAGUUUUUUUAUAAGUUUAAUAUCUGAUACAUCCUCUAUCUAAGGACAAUAUAUUAAAUGGAUUUUUGGAGCUGGGAUUCAGAAGAGGAGCUUGCUCCAUCCGCUCUGCCCAUCGACCUGGUAUAGCAGUACAUCCAGGAACGGUGCACCUCCC